AGUUGUCCAUCGGAAGAUAAACCAGAAGGUGGAUUCAGUUUUUUCUUAACCACGUGAAUUUUCUUGUUCGAGAGGCAAAUUAUGUAACAAUGAUGGUCAUUCGGGUCAGGCAAGUACACUCAUUUUAUUGUAUAGCCAACUUCUAUGAGGUAAAUAUCAUGCAUUUUAGCGUACGAAGUUCAUAGUCAUGUUCACUUGAGUUUUGUUUUUCACUGAUAAAAUUUGAUUUUGCUGGCUUAUACAUCUGGUUUUGCUUAUGCAUGUGGAGAAGAAAAUUGGUAUAUAAGCAGCGACAGGAAAAGAAUAGUUUGAGUCAGAUUUUGAAAAAAAUUAAAAAUGGAUUUUUCACUUAUUAUUUUUUUCGCUGUGAUGUAUGUGGUUCUUCUCCUUGGAGUUGUUGACGAAGCUAAAGAUUGCCCGACUAACUGUAACAAGUUCUUGACAUGUUGCCCUCCAAAAAAAUGCAACGAACUUCUCAUGUAUCCCAAGUGCCAGUAGAACUAACCUGAUUGACGCGAUGGGAAUUCUUCAACGAAAUUAGUUUUGUGGAAAAUCUUCAAAUAGCAUGAUGU